rnacentral:rRNA from 1 species
CAGAAUAGCAUGUGAUGGACUAAAACUACAAGGCACAUCAGAAAAAAUUUAUGAGCUAAAAACUACAAGCCACUAUGAUAUCGGUCAUCAUUAAACUGCAUUUCUCACAAAACCUAAGACUAAACUUGGUAGCAAGAGGAACCCAGCGCGACGCCAAAUAUACACUGAGAUGGAGAACACAGCGCUUCUUUCCGGCCACCUGAGUCUUCGUCGCAAUUGGCAUGGAUAUCAACACUAGUUCACCGGUUCAAUACCACCGGCCUCCGACACUUGAACCAGCCAACAGGCACUUUUAUGAUGCAUCAUCGGCUAUAACAAUCAGCGCUUUCAAAGACCAAGCAGCGCCAGAACCUCCAUCGGUCAGUCUUCUCGCUCCGUCCGCCCUACAGGAGAUCAAACUUCCAGCAGCAAAAUGACCUUCCUACCCCUGCUCGACAUGCACACGCCGCCGGGGAGGUACGCGAAACC